rnacentral:rRNA from 1 species
AUUGAACGCUGGCGGCAGGCCUAACACAUGCAAGUCGAGCGUGAAAGGGCUUCGGCCUGGGUAAAGCGGCGGACGGGUGAGUAACGCGUAGGAAUCUACCUGGUAGUGGGGGAUAACGUUCCGAAAGGGACGCUAACACCGCAUACGUUCCGAGGAAGAAAGCAGGGGACCUUCGGGCCUUGUGCUAUCAGAUGAGCCUGCGUCCGAUUAGCUAGUUGGUGGGGUAAAGGCCUACCAAGGCGACGAUCGGUAACAGGUCUGAGAGGAUGAUCAGUCACACUGGAACUGGGACACGGUCCAGCCUCCUACGGGAGGCAGCAGUGGGGAAUAUUGGACAAUGGGCGCAAGCCUGAUCCAGCCAUGCCGCGUGUGUGAAGAAGGCCUUCGGGUUGUAAAGCACUUUAGGCGGGGAGGAAGGCCUGAUGGCUAAUAUCCAUCAGGAUUGACGUUACCCGCAGAAUAAGCACCGGCAAACUUCGUGCCAGCAGCCGCAGUAAUAC